UACAGAGGUCUCAAGCGUUGUUCGGAUUCAUUGGGCGUAAAGGGUGCGUAGGCGGCGCGGUAAGUCGGGUGUGAAAUCUUGGAGCUUAACUCCGAAACUGCAUUCGAUACUGCCGUGCUUGAGGACUGGAGAGGAGACUGGAAUUUACGGUGUAGCGGUGAAAUGCGCAGAUAUCAGAGAACACCGGUGGCGAAGGCGGUUCUCUGGGACGUACUGACGCUGAGACGCGAAAGCGUGGGGAGCGAACAGG
rnacentral:rRNA from 1 species